rnacentral:rRNA from 1 species
GUGGGGAAUCUUGGACAAUGGGGGCAACCCUGAUCCAGCCAUGCCGCGUGAGCGAUGAAGGCCUUAGGGUUGUAAAGCUCUUUCAGCGGGGAAGAUAAUGACGGUACCCGCAGAAGAAGCCCCGGCUAACUCCGUGCCAGCAGCCGCGGUAAUACGGAGGGGGCUAGCGUUGUUCGGAAUUACUGGGCGUAAAGCGCACGUAGGCGGACCAUCAAGUUGGGGGUGAAAUCCCGGGGCUCAACCCCGGAACUGCCUCCAAAACUGCUGGUCUGGAGGAUGAGAGAGGCGAGUGGAAUUCCGAGUGUAGAGGUGAAAUUCGUAGAUAUUCGGAGGAACACCAGUGGCGAAGGCGGCUCGCUGGCUCAUUUCUGACGCUGAGGUGCGAAAGCGUGGGGAGCAAACAGGAUUAGAAACCCUAGUAGUCC